GGUGAACGCUGGCGGCGCGCCUAAUGCAUGCAAGUCGAGCGUGUCCCGAUGGCUUCGGCUAUCGGGAAAAGCGGCAAACGGCUGAGUAACACGUGAGCAACCUGCCCUCUGGUGGGGUACAGCCCCGAGAAAUCGAGGUUAAUCCCGCAUAAGAUCCCCGGACCCUGGUGCGGGGAUGAAAGCCCUCGGGCGCCGGAGGAGGGGCUCGCGUCCUAUCAGGUAGUUGGUGGGGUAAUGGCCCACCAAGCCGAUGACGGGUAGCUGGUCUGAGAGGAUGGCCAGCCAGAGGGGGACUGAGACACGGCCCCCACUCCUACGGGAGGCAGCAGCAGGGAAUUUUGGGCAAUGGGCGAAAGCCUGACCCAGCGACGUCGCGUGGGGGAAGAAGGCCUUCGGGUCGUAAACCCCUUUUCCAACGGGAAGAGCAAGGACGGUACCUUGGGAAUAAG
rnacentral:rRNA from 1 species